UUGAACGCUGGCGGCAGGCCUAACACAUGCAAGUCGAGCGGUAGCACAGAGAGCUUGCUCUCGGGUGACGAGCGGCGGACGGGUGAGUAAUGUCUGGGAAACUGCCUGAUGGAGGGGGAUAACUACUGGAAACGGUAGCUAAUACCGCAUAACGUCGCAAGACCAAAGUGGGGGACCUUCGGGCCUCAUGCCAUCAGAUGUGCCCAGAUGGGAUUAGCUGGUAGGUGGGGUAACGGCUCACCUAGGCGACGAUCCCUAGCUGGUCUGAGAGGAUGACCAGCCACACUGGAACUGAGACACGGUCCAGACUCCUACGGGAGGCAGCAGUGGGGAAUAUUGCACAAUGGGCGCAAGCCUGAUGCAGCCAUGCCGCGUGUGUGAAGAAGGCCUUCGGGUUGUAAAGCACUUUCAGCGGGGAGGAAGGCGGUGAGGUUAAUAACCUCAUCGAUUGACGUUACCCGCAGAAGAAGCACCGGCUAACUCCGUGCCAGCAGCCGCGGUAAUACGGAGGGUGCAAGCGUUAAUCGGAAUUACUGGGCGUAAAGCGCACGCAGGCGGUCUGUCAAGUCGGAUGUGAAAUCCCCGGGCUCAACCUGGGAACUGCAUUCGAAACUGGCAGGCUAGAGUCUUGUAGAGGGGGGUAGAAUUCCAGGUGUAGCGGUGAAAUGCGUAGAGAUCUGGAGGAAUACCGGUGGCGAAGGCGGCCCCCUGGACAAAGACUGACGCUCAGGUGCGAAAGCGUGGGGAGCAAACAGGAUUAGAUACCCUGGUAGUCCACGCUGUAAACGAUGUCGAUUUGGAGGUUGUGCCCUUGAGGCGUGGCUUCCGGAGCUAACGCGUUAAAUCGACCGCCUGGGGAGUACGGCCGCAAGGUUAAAACUCAAAUGAAUUGACGGGGGCCCGCACAAGCGGUGGAGCAUGUGGUUUAAUUCGAUGCAACGCGAAGAACCUUACCUGGUCUUGACAUCCACGGAAGUUUUCAGAGAUGAGAAUGUGCCUUCGGGAACCGUGAGACAGGUGCUGCAUGGCUGUCGUCAGCUCGUGUUGUGAAAUGUUGGGUUAAGUCCCGCAACGAGCGCAACCCUUAUCCUUUGUUGCCAGCGGUUAGGCCGGGAACUCAAAGGAGACUGCCAGUGAUAAACUGGAGGAAGGUGGGGAUGACGUCAAGUCAUCAUGGCCCUUACGACCAGGGCUACACACGUGCUACAAUGGCAUAUACAAAGAGAAGCGACCUCGCGAGAGCAAGCGGACCUCAUAAAGUAUGUCGUAGUCCGGAUUGGAGUCUGCAACUCGACUCCAUGAAGUCGGAAUCGCUAGUAAUCGUAGAUCAGAAUGCUACGGUGAAUACGUUCCCGGGCCUUGUACACACCGCCCGUCACACCAUGGGAGUGGGUUGCAAAAGAAGUAGGUAGCUUAACCUUCGGGAGGGCGCUUACCACUUUGUGAUUCAUGACUGGGGUG
rnacentral:rRNA from 1 species